rnacentral:rRNA from 1 species
UACAGAGGGGGCGAGCGUUGUUCGGAAUUACUGGGCGUAAAGGGCGCGUAGGCGGCCUUCUAAGUCAGACGUGAAAUCCCCCGGCUUAACCUGGGAACUGCGUCUGAUACUGGGAGGCUUGAGUAUGGGAGAGGGAUGUAGAAUUCCAGGUGUAGCGGUGAAAUGCGUAGAUAUCUGGAGGAAUACCGGUGGCGAAGGCGGCAUCCUGGACCAUAACUGACGCUGAGGCGCGAAAGCUAGGGGAGCAAACGGG